ensembl:snoRNA
ACCUUCUUGUUUAAGCUCUCUACUAAAAUUCCAGAAACUAGUAUCAUGUCUUAGCAUUUGUAAUAAAGCUAUCAGAGAAAACCCAAGAAGAAAAAAGAACUGUACCAAAGAGAAAAAUUGAGUUGAACCUUUUUUUUUAGACGGAGUCUCACUCUGUCACCCAGGCUGGAGUGUAGUGGUGCAAUCUCA